AUGUUGAGGCUAGUUUUGCUGACAAGUUUAGCAGCACUAGUUUUAAGCACUGAUAAAUUUAGCAGAGAUGAUUUCCCACCUGACUUUGUGUUUGGGGCUGCUGCCUCAGCUUAUCAGGUUGAAGGUGCAGCAAACCUAGAUGGAAGGACACCCAGCAUAUGGGAUACAUUCGCCCAUGCAGGGAAUAUGCAUGGAGCCAGUGGGGACAUAGCAUGUGAUGAGUAUCAUAAAUAUAAGGACGAUGUCCAGCUCAUGGAAGACACGGGGUUAGAAGCCUAUAGGUUUUCCAUAUCAUGGUCAAGGCUUAUCCCAAAUGGAAGAGGAGCUGUUAAUCCAAAGGGUUUGCAAUAUUACAACAAGCUCAUCAAUGAGCUAAUCAGCCAUGGAAUACAACCACACGUAACAUUACACCACACUGAUCUUCCUCAAGCACUUGAAGAUGAGUAUGGAGGAUGGGUUAGUCGGAAGAUUGUGAAAGACUUCACGGCAUAUGCAGAUGUGUGCUUCAGGAAGUUUGGUGACAGGAUAUCAUAUUGGACUACAAUGAAUGAGGCCAAUGUGUUCGUGCUUGAGGGUUAUGAUACUGGAUUUCUUCCUCCGCAGCGAUGUCCACCUCCAUAUGGAGGUAACUGCUCUACAGGAAACUCCUCAACUGAGCCGUACAUGGCAGCUCAUCAUAUCCUGCUGGCACAUGCAUCAGCUGCUAGAUUAUACAAGAAACGAUACCAGGACAAGCAGCAUGGUGUUAUAGGGCUCAAUGUCUUUUCCUAUUGGUUCAUUCCUCUAACAAACAGUACUGAAGAUAAAAUUGCCACUCAAAGAGCCAAUGAUUUUUUCUUGGGUUGGUUUGUGGAUCCCUUGGUAUUUGGAGACUAUCCUCAGACCAUGAAAAAGAUUGUAGGCUCUAGACUUCCAUCCUUUACCUAUGCUGAAUCCAGUCAGGUUAAGGGUUCAUUUGACUUCAUUGGAGUGAAUCAUUACAUCACAAUGUAUGUCAAUGAUAACCCGAGCAGCCUAAAUAUGGAAGACAGAGAUGUUUUGGCAGACAUGGCAGUACAGUUUACAAGAAUUCGAAAUGAUACGUCCAUAUUUGAGUAUCCAAUUGCACCCUGGGGUCUGCAAGGAAUCCUGGAGUAUAUCAAGCAAUUUUAUGGCAACCCUCCUGUCUACAUUCAUGAAAAUGGUCAACGAACAAGAUGUAAUUCAACACUGGAAGACUGGCCUAGGGUAAAAUAUUUGCAUGCAUAUAUUGGCAGUUUGCUUGAUGCAUUGAGGAAUGGAUCAAAUUCAAGGGGUUAUUUUACAUGGUCCUUCUUGGAUUUAUUUGAAAUGUUGGAUGGAUAUGAAUCAAGCUACGGCCUAUACUUCGUGGAUUUGGAUGACCCGGAUUUAAAAAGAUAGCCUAAGCUCUCUGCUCAUUGGUACUCCAAUUUCUUGAUCGGGAAAAACAUCAGUUCUGAUGGAUAUAUUGAACUUCAGAAGAAUAUAUCUGCAGUUUCUCCUUAUUUACUUGAGUAGAUUAGGCUUUGUACAUG